AAUUACAAUUUUCAUUUAUUUCUACUGUUAAAAAUUAGUGUGACUGACGUAAUAAUCAACCAACUACACCUAGCGUGUCAUGUAUACCUCAUGUCGACAUACAACGAUCAAUUUUUCAUAGCAAAAAUGUAUAAAAUUUUUAAUA
rnacentral:pre_miRNA from 1 species